rnacentral:rRNA from 1 species
GACGUAGGGCGCGAGCGUUGUUCGGAUUUAUUGGGCGUAAAGAGCUCGUAGGCGGCUUGUCGCGUCGUCCGUGAAAACUUGGGGCUCAACCCCAAGCUUGCGGUCGAUACGGGCAGGCUCGAGUUCGGUAGGGGAGACUGGAAUUCCUGGUGUAGCGGUGAAAUGCGCAGAUAUCAGGAGGAACACCGGUGGCGAAGGCGGCAUCCUGGACCGGCAUUGACGCUGAGGAGCGAAAGCCAGGGGAGCAAACGGG